rnacentral:lncRNA from 1 species
GGGGACAGACGAUAACAGCCCUGGGCUGGUCGCCUGCCUUCCUCCAGCCCCUGCUUCUGUCUCCUGUACUCACUCUAAAGGACCCUGGAAGAGGGAGUGGUUCAUCCUAGCUGCAAACAGGGGCGCUAAUUUUUUUUUUUUUUUUUUUUAAGAAUUGCGUUUUAUAGGUAUGUCUGAGCGAUGCAAGGGCAUGCGAACGACUUUUCAGAGAGAAUGUGAAUACAUUUGGUAUGUACUAAAAAGCUGGAAGCCCCUAAGUAAACGCAGUAUCCAUAGGAAGGGAGUUUCUUGAAGAGUCACCUGCUAAACUCCACUAGCGUCAUCUUUGCAAUUGCUAUGAGAGUGACUACCCAACAAUGUUGGUGUAAUGGAAGACAUUACAGUCUCAAGGAAUAAUUGGUUGAGAGUCAUGAAAGUAAGGAUGGUAAGUGAUUUUUAAGAACUAAAAGAAAUCCAGAGUGUAUGAAGUAGGGAGAAGAAAAAGAGAGGCACACUCCAAUUGCAAAGGCAGCAAAGUCAAGAAAUCUACAAUUCUUUGAACUCUUGCUAAACAGUAGAAACAAUAAAAAUCAUUGACAAAGUGGAUGGAAAAUAGAAAAGAGAUAAACCAAGGAUGUUUAUGAAAAUUUCCCCCUUUGAAAUUGAAAGACAUUGGCAUGGAGAAGACUUCAUGUGGCAAAGUUUUGGAGGAAAGACUCAGAGCUUGUUUUUUGUCACAUUCUAUGAAGGGUUUAUCAAUCAGCCAAGUGGGAGGUCUCAAUUAUGUAUUUAGGUAUAGAAUCUACAGUUAAGGGUAGAGGACUGUUUGCAAAUAUACAUUUGGAAAUUUCAACGCUUAAUAUUUAAACUAAUGAGAUGGAAUGAGAUUACCAAAGAAAUGAGUUAAUGUGCAAGGGCUAAAUAUAAAUAUGUUGAGAAAAAUGUGACAGUGAACUUGUCCAAUCUCAUUUCCCAACAGAGAGCUAAGCAUUCCAGACCAUUUUUGAAGCUUUUAUACUGGCUAUUUGAUUUGGGAUUUGGAGACUUGUGUUUAUGUAAAAGGAAUUGUACUCUAUAUAUUGAACUGCAGUUUGUUUUGGUCUGUAAUGACAUGAUGAGGAACACUUUCUUUUUUAGUAUAUAGAAUUCUAUAGGAUUACUUUUAACUGCUUUAUCAUUUCUAGUGAUAUUGUUGUACCAUAGUUUGCUUAAUUAUAAUUUUAUUUAGGGAAUUUUUAAUUUUUAAUAUUUAAUUACACUUGAGGUGGAGGCUGCUUGAACACAAAAGAAAUUAAAUCAAUAAUGAGGGAGGAGAUAAUUUAAAUAUUACACGUAAUGCUGACUAUCAUCUAAUUAAUUUGCAAACGCUUGGGUGUGAAUAUGAAUUUUCAUGUGGAUUUCAUGUUUAUUUAUUUCUAUUUUUAAAAGAUUUUAUUUAUUUUUUCAUGAGAGACACAGAGAGAGAGGCAGAGACAUAGGCAGAGGGAGAAGCAGGCUCCCUGCAGGGUACCCGAUGCAGGACUCAAUCCCAGGACCGUGGGAUCACAACCUGAGCCAAAGGCAGACGCUCAACCACUGAGCCACCCAGGUGUCCUGGAUUUCAUAUUUAUUAUCUCAUUGGGUCCCCAUGCUACUUCUUGUCCUACUAAUAGCCUACUAAUGGUAAGUAAAUAGUAAGAUAAUCUUACCAUGAUGAUGAGUGGGAUACUAAUGUUUAUAGAGAAGAGUUUUUAGUGUCACUGGGUUUCUGAAUUCCAGAGCAUACUUCAUUUGAUCAAUUGGCUGAAACCUAUUUGCUAAAAGCUAAAGUAAAGUUUUUGCAGGACUGACUGAGAUGCUAUGUAAACCUUUCAAUGAAAACUGCCUUUUUACAAGUAAUGCUCUUAUUAUUUAAUAUUCACCUCAUGUGCUUCCCUUAAAACCCAAGCCCUGAAUAAGAUGCCACACCACUCUGCAAGUAAUGACGAGGCAAACUUCCCCAGUGCAUACUAUAUAUCUUAGUGCACAAAGGUAUAAUUUUGUAGGAUAUAUUUCUAAAAGUGGCAAUGCUGUGUGUAAGGGUUUACAAAGUUAUAAUUUUCCUCAUACUCCCAAAUGAUCCUCUGGAGGCUACAAGAGCUUACACUCUUUCCAACAUCGCAUGGGAGCUCCAGUUACCCCAUCUUUGAUAACAUGGAUACUAUCAAUCUUUUAAAUUUUUGCAAAUAUAGUUGUUAUUGUUUUAAUUGUCAUUACCCUGGCCACUUUGAGAUUGAAUACCUUUUCACAUCAUUGCUUCUGUUUAUGUAUUUUUACAUUCCUACACAUAUAUUUGUCUCAUUUCAAUUGUGGUUUAAUUUUCUUUGAAAAUAUUUGUAGUUGUCCUUUGUAUUGAAUCCACAUGAAUUCUUUAUUUCAUGUACUAAAAUAUUUCCAUCAAAUCUUAAUUUAUUCAUAUGUUAAUUUGUUUACAGUAUUGCUUAUCAUAAAGAACUCUUUUUUGGGGGCACCCAGGUGGCUCAGUUAGCUAAGUAUCCAUAUCGGGCCUGCUUCUUUUCCCUCUGCCCUUCCCCUCCAUUCAUACUCUCUCUCUCAUGCUCUCUCUCUUAAGUAAAUAAAUAAAAUCUUAAAAAAUACAUGUAACAGAAUAAUGCUUUUGAAGUAGUAAAUAAUUUCUUUCUCCCUCAAGUAUAGAUAUGACACAGGAGUUAUUAAACUUGUCUACAAGUCUUGGCCUUUAAAUUUCCGAAAGCCAAAACUAUCGGUGUUCAGAAGUCAAGGCUGAUAUAAAAGCAAUGUUUGUGCAGCAAGCAACAAUGAGUUGUACUAUUUCACUCCUUCCCUUAACCCCAUGCGUUUGGAACUAUGUAAAUCGCCUGAACAUAGCAACUGCUCUAGGGAAUGAAAAAAGAAAUCCUGAGUUUACUGAAAUAAUUUAGUCUGGAAAAAUAAGAGAUUAAAAUAGAAAUCCAGUCUGGGGAAAAAAUGAGGUAGUAGAGGAAAAAAGAACUUCUCCCUAGCUUACUUCCAUCCCACUUGUAAAAACCGAGUCACAUUUUGGAGAGUUGGGGAUCACUUAUCAUUGCUUUACCUAAGACUACGAUAAACAUAGGAUUGAAAGAAGCCAGACACAAAAGAAUACAUACCAUAUGAUUCCAUUAUUUAAAAUUUAAAAACAGGCAAAACCACACAACAGGUUUAGAAGAUAAAAUAAAUCUGCAAGGUAGAGGCAGGAAGUGAGUAGCAAUUAGGAAGGCAUGAAGAAGUUUCUGGGUUGUUGGCAUUCUAUUUUCUGAUAUGUUGUAGUUACACAGGUGGUUUCUUUGUUAUAGUGUUUUGAACUGUAUGUGUAUACUUGGCUUUUUAAGUUCAUAUGGGUUAUCCUUCAAUUAAAAAGAAAAAAAAUAUGAAAAUGCAGUUAAAUUAUAGAAAAUAAUAUUUAUACAUUUCUGCAAAUAUGUUUGAAGGUAAGAUUAUAUGUGUAGCACAUAUUAUAUGGCUGAAAUGAUUUAUCCUCACACUCCUAUUUUUUGCUCUUCUAUUAAAAUUUUAUGCUUUCCUCUUAAAUAACUGUAAAUUAGAUGAUACUUGUUGAGCACUUACUCUAAGGGAAAGUACUAUUCUAAGAACAUUACAAAUAUCUGCUCAUUUAAAGCUCACAACAAGCUAAUGAGGUUGGAAGUAUUAUCCUCUUAAUAGAUUAGGGAAUCGAGAUUCAGUGACAUUAUGUAACUUCAGGGCAGAAAAUCUAAUUAGAGUUACAGUCACAACUCAUACCCUGGCAGUUUGCCUCAAGGUUAAAUCUGGUUAACCACCAUAUUGUCCCCUUAAGUACAUCUCCUAAUCAUCUCUCCAGAAGCAGAAAAAAA